UGAGAUUGUUAUUUUUUGAUUUGCACAGGCCGAGGAAGGAGUUGGAAGCAAUGUUCCCCAAAAUGUUACUGCCACAUCUAUUGAUCCAGUGGGUAAAGCAAAAAGGCAAAAGAAAAAAGUUCCUAAGACCUCUAACACUCACUCAGUCCAACAAGAGACAAGGGUUGACACUCAAUCUUCACACCCUACCCAACCACCAGUAGAGGGUGUGGACUACAAUACUGAGCCCUCAAACCCUUCUACCCCAACUGUACUCAACCACGGGCCAAAUUUCAGACCCAAGCAAGCUAUAACUAGACCUCCAGCACCUACAGUACACCACCCUCAACAGCAGGCCACAGCCCCAACAGUUCAGCCACCUCUACAGCAA